UAGUGGCUUUUAGAACUAGCCAUUACAGACCUUUUCGUUAGCAUAUUAACAUUCAGAUUGAAUUCAUAUAAUAACGUCCGUUGGAAAUAGUAGAACUCCAAAGAUGCUCAAGAUGGAAAACAACCGUCCACUGAAAAUUGUAGUGAAGGUGGACUAUUCUUUUUUGGCGAAUAAUGCUGGACUAGUAGAAAAUAUCAACUGGGGGAAUAUACCGGCUGUAUAAUUGCUGGAAUCCUUUUUUGUACCAACGAAAAGGAUUCCACCAAUUAUACCAGCCCACCUUGGAGAACAUCCUGAACAUCGAAAAGAUCAAAAGCACUACAAAGACACCCAGCAAGGUUCAGCUCUCUUCCAGGAAAAAAUUCCCAUCAUUGUCACGAAGCCUUCAAGUGAAGUACUCACACUGCUAGAAAAAGCCACAUUCGUCCGCGGCCCACUAAUAUAAGGCAGCCAGACUUUACCAAAGAAUAUGAGAAGCAGAAGGCCUUCUGGGACGAGUUCAAGGCAUACAAGCUAUCAGAGGAGGCUAAGGCAUUGAGCGCUAAGAAUAAAGAGAACUCGGACAAGAACAGAAAUCCACAUCGUCUAGGCUCACGUGGCUACAUUCACCAGUUGCCAAAAUGGGACGCGCGACUUGCAGAAUUGGCAAAGGACGGUGUGACUCCCGUUACCAGCGAUUGGCAGCUCAGAGCGGUACAAUUCCUGCUGGCUAGAGGGGCAAAGUUCCAAGAUGAUGGUACACUUUCUGUACCAAAUACGGACGUGGCCAACUCAUGACCACGAUGUCCACAAUGACUGAAGAGGUGAGGCAGGGGGUCCGCAACUCUUGGAGGGAGCAGGACGUGAUCACCCAGGCACUCGGAAACGCCGAGCACCCCGGUCGCACACGAGGGCACGGGGUUUAUCAUUGGAAGAUAACAUUCCAGGAUGAAAUAUCCUCUUACCGGCGUAGACGGACUACACAUGCUUCACUGCAAGAAGAUUACGAAAAGCGGCUUAAGGAGUUCAAGGACAGGUUGGUAGCAAUAGAGGCCUUUCAAUCGUCACAAAUCUCUCCUCGUCCGGCAAGCAUGAGCCCGGGGGUAAGGCAAGGUGUUCGUAGUAGCUGUGGAUCAACUCCGCUUGAUGUGGAUGAGUCAAAUGCAAUUCAUGUGGUGGAUUUUAUCACUAGUUGCGUUCCAGUGAAGCUGUACAUUCAGCAGCAAUGGACCACUGACAAGGUUGCAAUCGGCCAGGCCUGGCCUCCAACUAGUGAUGUGUUGCACAACAACGUAGUUCCACCCAGAUAUGCUAAGGUCAGGCGGUCAGCAUUGACAGGAUACUGCAUAAGAGAUUCAUCAGAAUACACAUUGAGUGCCCAGUGGAGACCGACAGGCCGCGUCUAGACCAGAAUCUAAAUACCUUUGUUGCUUGGCGCAAAAAAUGGAUAAGGCUUGUUGA